rnacentral:rRNA from 1 species
AUCAAGUGUCUUAAGGGCAUUUGGUGGAUGCCUUGGCAUGCACAGGCGAAGAAGGACGUGAUACGCUGCGAUAAGCUACGGGGAGGUGCGAAUACCCUUUGAUCCGUAGAUUUCCGAAUGGGGCAACCCACCUUAGAUUGCUGGAAAAGUUAAGCUGCUUUAGAUUAAAGCGGUUUAAUUUUCUAGCAAUCACUAAUUAAGGUAUCUGCAUCUGAAUAAAAUAGGGUGUAAGAAGCGAACGCAGGGAACUGAAACAUCUAAGUACCUGUAGGAAAGGACAUCAAUAGAGACUCCGUUAGUAGUGGCGAGCGAACGCGGACCAGGCCAGUGGCUUAAGUUAAGAAAAGUAGAAUCGAUUGGAAAGUCGAACCAAAGAGGGUGAUAGUCCCGUAUACGUAGAUCUGAUUUAAGUCCUUGAGUAAGGCGGGACACGUGAAAUCCUGU